AACGAACGCUGGCGGCAGGCUUAACACAUGCAAGUCGAACGCGUGUAGCAAUACACGAGUGGCGUACGGGUGAGUAACGCGUGGAUAUCUGCCUUUUGGUUCGGAAUAACCCCGGGAAACUGGGGCUAAUACCGGAUGGUUCCUUCGGGAUAAAGAUUUAUCGCCAAAAGAUGAGUCCGCGUCCGAUUAGCUAGUUGGUGAGGUAAUGGCUCACCAAGGCGACGAUCGGUAGCUGGUCUGAGAGGACGAUCAGCCACACUGGGACUGAGACACGGCCCAGACUCCUACGGGAGGCAGCAGUGGGGAAUAUUGGACAAUGGGGGCAACCCUGAUCCAGCCAUGCCGCGUGAGUGAUGAAGGCCUUC
rnacentral:rRNA from 1 species